GAGAGACCAUGAUACCUGCAUAAGUAAGAGAGGCACUGAAGUGAGGUCAGCAUGGGCUGCUUUCUGGGUCAUUUUGAUAGGCUUAGGAAUGGCUGCUGGUGGAGGAUACCUCGUCUACAAAUAUAGAUUGAGGUCUUACAUGGAUUCUGAAAUCAGAGCUAUCAUGGCACAAUACAUGCCGCUGGACAGUCGAGCAGAAGUACCAAGCCAUGUCAAUGACAAUCGUGCCUGAAAAUGACAAGCUCCAUUAUUGAUCUUCAAGGAUUUCAAGUAAUGCUGGGUUGAUGUGGUUCAUGCCAUACAUUUUCUUUUUGGAGUAAAGGAUUAUGAGCCUGAAUUAAGCCUGUAAUGUAUAUGGCCAAUACAAAAAAAAGUGCAGAUUAGAUGUCUUGUUUACUGGAACCAUAACAUGCUUAACGGUUGAAGUAGGGAUUGGAUUUAAGGCAGAUUGAUAGGGAUGUGGCUGCAACGUUUUAGAAUUUUCAUUCUCAUCCCUAAAUCUAGCCACUUAAUUUAUAUGGUGAUUCUGUAAUUCAUUAACAAUGACCCUUAUUUUUUUGAGCCUGGGAUCAUACCUACGUGUACGCAUGAUCAAAGAUUGUGUUAAAAGUAUACCUUUGCCUAUUCCAAUAUGCCUGCC
rnacentral:misc_RNA from 1 species